rnacentral:tRNA from 1 species
GAAAUCAUAGCUUAGUGGUAGAGUGACUACUUAGCAAGUAUAAGACUAUGGGUUCAAACCCCAGUAAUACCC